rnacentral:rRNA from 1 species
GGAUAAUCUGCCCUCAGGUGAGGAAUGAUCCCGGGAAACUGGGGCUAAUGCCUCAUAGGAGACGGGUGCUGGAAUGCUCUGUCUCCGAAAGGUCCGCCGCCUGAGGAUGAGUCUGCGUCCGAUUAGGUUGUUGUUGGGGUAACGGCCCAACAAGCCUUUGAUCGGUACGGGUUGUGGGAGCAAGAGCCCGGAGAUGGAUUCUGAGACAUGAAUCCAGGCCCUACGGGGCGCAGCAGGCGCGAAAACUUUACAAUGCGAGCAAUCGUGAUAAGGAAACCCUGAGUGCCUGUCAAUGCAGGCUGUUCUGGUGUCUAACACACACCAGGAGAAAGGGCGGGGCAAGACCGGUGCCAGCCGCCGCGGUAAUACCGGCUGCUCGAGUGAUAGCCACUUUUACUGGGCUUAAAGCGUUCGUAGCUUGGUCGUUAAGUCUCUGGGGAAAUCUUUUGGCUCAACCAAAAGGCGUCUCAGGGAAACUGGCGAUCUUGGAACCGGGAGAGGUAAGACGUACUUCGGGGGUAGGAGUGAAAUCUUGUAAUCCCCGAGGGACGACCGAUGGCGAAGGCAUCUUACCAGAACGGCUUCGACAGUGAGGGACGAAAGCUGGGGGAGCAAACCGGAUUAGAUACCCGGGUAGUCCCAGCCGUAAACGAUGUGCGUUAGGUGUGUCAGUGACCACGAGUCGCUGAGGUGCCGAAGGGAAACCGUGAAACGCACCGCCUGGGAAGUACGGUCGCAAGGCUGAAACU